GGGGGGAGGCUGGAUCCUGGGCUGUGUCCCGGCGCCCUGUGCUCCGGAGCCUGCGCUGUUGGAUUCGCGCUCCCGGGCCGCGCAACCCCCU
rnacentral:pre_miRNA from 1 species